rnacentral:rRNA from 1 species
UACGUAGGGGGCUAGCGUUGUCCGGAUUUAUUGGGCGUAAAGAGCGUGUAGGCGGCCAGGUAGGUCCGGUGUGAAAACUCGAGGCUUAACCUCGAGAUGUCAUCGGAAACCAUCUGGCUAGAGUCCGGAAGAGGAAAGUGGAAUUCCCGGUGUAGCGGUGAAAUGCGCAGAUAUCGGGAAGAACACCCGUGGCGAAGGCGGUUCUCUGGGACGGUACUGACGCUGAGACGCGAAAGCGUGGGGAGCGAACAGG